rnacentral:lncRNA from 1 species
CCUCAACUCCAAAAAUCAAUCCCAACCUUCCUUUUGUGGUCAUAAACCUUGUGUUAAAAUUUCAUUGAUUUCUAUUUACUUAUACUAAAGUUAUUGUGCGAAAACCAAGAAUAAUGCUUAUUUGGGCCCUUUUUUGGCCCUUAAUUCCUAAACUGUUGGAACCAAAACUCCCAAAAUCAAUCCCAACCUUCCUUUUGUGGUCAUAAACCUUGUGUCAAAAUUUCAUAGAUUUCUAUUCACUUAAACUAAAGUUAUAGUGCAAAAACCAAGAAAAUGCUUAUUUGGGCCCUUUUUGGCCCCUAAUUCCUAAAAUGUUGGGACCAAAACUCCCAAAAUCAAUCCCAACCUUCCUUUUGUGGUCAUAAACCUUGUGUUAAAAUUUCAUUGAUUUCUAUUCACUUUUACUUAAGUUAGAGUGCGAAAAC